rnacentral:rRNA from 1 species
UACAGAGGGGGCGAGCGUUAUUCGGAAUUAUUGGGCGUAAAGGGCGCGUAGGCGGCCUUUCAAGUGACGGGUGAAAUCCCUCGGCUUAACCGAGGAACUGCCUGUCAGACUGGAAGGCUUGAGUCCGGGAGAGGUGAGUGGAAUUCCCAGUGUAGCGGUGAAAUGCGUAGAUAUUGGGAGGAACACCAGUGGCGAAGGCGGCUCACUGGACCGGUACUGACGCUGAGGCGCGAAAGCCAGGGGAGCGAACGGG